AGCGAACGCUGGCGGCAUGCUUAACACAUGCAAGUCGCACGGGCAGUAGCAAUACUGUCAGUGGCGGACGGGUGAGUAACGCGUAGGAAUCUAUCCUUGAAUGGGGGACAACCGUGGGAAACUACGGCUAAUACCGCAUGACGCCUGAGGGCCAAAGUACGAAAGUCGUUUGAGGAGGAGCCUGCGUCUGAUUAGGUAGUUGGUGGGGUAAAGGCCUACCAAGCCUACGAUCAGUAGCUGGUCUGAGAGGAUGAUCAGCCACAUUGGGACUGAGACACGGCCCAAACUCCUACGGGAGGCAGCAGUGGGGAAUAUUGGACAAUGGGCGCAAGCCUGAUCCAGCAAUGCCGCGUGGGUGAAGAAGGUCUUCGGAUUGUAAAGCCCUUUUGGCGGGGACGAUGAUGACGGUACCCGCAGAAUAAGCUCCGGCUAACUUCGUG
rnacentral:rRNA from 1 species